rnacentral:rRNA from 1 species
UUAUCAUUAGUUGCUACGCAAGGGCACUCUAAUGAGACUGCCGGUGACAAACCGGAGGAAGGUGGGGAUGACGUCAGGUCAUCACGGCCCUUAUGGGUAGGGCUACACACGUCAUACAAUGGCCGGUACAGAGGGCUGCCAACUCGCGAGAGGGAGCUAAUCUCAGAAAACCGGUCGUAGUCCGGAUCGCAGUCUGCAACUCGACUGCGUGAAGUCGGAAUCGCUAGUAAUCGCGGAUCAGCUUGCCGCGGUGAAUACGUUCCCGGGUCUUU